GUACACUCCUGCGGGAGGCAGCAGUGGGGAAUUUUGGACAAUGGGCGAAAGCCUGAUACAGCAAUGCCGCGUGAGUGAAGAAGGCCUUCGGGUUGUAAAGCUCUUUUGUCAGGGAAGAAACGGUGAAAGCUAAUAUCUUUUGCUAAUGACGGUACCUGAAGAAUAAGCACCGGCUAACUACGUGCCAGCAGCCGCGGUAAUACGUAGGGUGCAAGCGUUAAUCGGAAUUACUGGGCGUAAAGCGUGCGCAGGCGGUUUUGUAAGUCUGAUGUGAAAUCCCCGGGCUCAACCUGGGAAUUGCAUUGGAGACUGCAAGGCUAGAAUCUGGCAGAGGGGGGUAGAAUUCCACGUGUAGCAGUGAAAUGCGUAGAUAUGUGGAGGAACACCGAUGGCGAAGGCAGCCCCCUGGGUCAAGAUUGACGCUCAUGCACGAAAGCGUGGGGAGCAAACAGGAUUAGAAACCCGGGUAGUCCC
rnacentral:rRNA from 1 species